AACGAACGCUGGCGGCAGGCUUAACACAUGCAAGUCGAACGCGUGCAGCAAUGCACGAGUGGCGCACGGGUGAGUAACGCGUGGAUAUCUGCCUUUUGGUUCGGAAUAACCCCGGGAACUGGGGCGUAAUACCGGAUGGUUCCUGCGGGAUAAAGAUUUAUCGCCAAAAGAUGAGUCCGCGUACGAUUAGCUAGUUGGUGAGGUAAUGGCUCACCAAGGCAACGAUCGUUAGCUGGUCUGAGAGGACGAUCAGCCACACUGGGACUGAGACACGGCCCAGACUCCUACGGGAGGCAGCAGUGGGGAAUAUUGGACAAUGGGGGCAACCCUGAUCCAGCCAUGCCGCGUGAGUGAAGAAGGCCCUCGGGUUGUAAAGCUCUUUUGUCCGGAAAGAAAGCAAUCGGUUAAUACCCGGUUGUUCUGACGGUACCGGAAGAAUAAGCACCGGCUAACUUCGUGCCAGCAGCCGCGGUAAGGAGCUGUCGU
rnacentral:rRNA from 1 species